UACGGGGGGAGCAAGCGCUGUUCGGAUUUACUGGGCGUAAAGGGCGCGUAGGCGGCCACCGCAAGUCAGUUGUGAAAUCUCUGGGCUUAACCCAGAACGGUCAGCUGAUACUGCGGGGCUAGAGUGCAGAAGGGGCAACUGGAAUUCUCGGUGUAGCGGUGAAAUGCGUAGAUAUCGAGAGGAACACCUGCGGCGAAGGCGGGUUGCUGGGCCGACACUGACGCUGAGGCGCGAAAGCUAGGGGAGCGAACGGG
rnacentral:rRNA from 1 species